AAAGGGGUCCGUAACCAAAGG
rnacentral:miRNA from 1 species